GGGGGAUAUUGCACAAUGGGGGAAACCCUGAUGCAGCGAUGCCGCGUGUAGGAAGACGGUCCUCUGGAUUGUAAACUACUGUCUUCAGGGACGAUAAUGACGGUACCUGAGGAGGAAGCUCCGGCUAACUACGUGCCAGCAGCCGCGGUAAUACGUAGGGAGCGAGCGUUGUCCGGAAUUACUGGGUGUAAAGGGAGCGUAGGCGGGGUCUUAAGUCCGUUGUGAAAUCUACCGGCUCAACCGGUAGCUGCGGCGGAAACUGGGACUCUUGAGUGAAGUAGAGGCAGGCGGAAUUCCUAGUGUAGCGGUGAAAUGCGUAGAUAUUAGGAGGAACACCGGUGGCGAAGGCGGCUCUCUGGACCGAUACUGACGCUGAGACGCGAAAGCGUGGGUAGCAAAC
rnacentral:rRNA from 1 species